ACGUAAUAGAUACCCGGGUAGUCCAUGCCGUAAACGUUGGGAACUAGGUGUGGGUCUCAUUCCACGAGAUCCGUGCCGCAGCUAAACGCAUUAAGUUCCCCGCCUGGGGAGUACGGCCGCAAGGCUAAAACUCAAAGGAAUUGACGGGGGCCCGCACAAGCGGCGGAGCAUGCGGAUUAAAUUCGAUGCAACGCGAAGAACCUUACCAAGGCUUGACAUGCACCGGAAUCACUCAGAGAUGGGUGCGUCUUCGGACUGGUGUACAGGUGGUGCAUGGUUGUCGUCAGCUCGUGUCGUGAGAUGUUGGGUUAAAGUCCCGCAACGAGCGCAACCCUCGUUCUAUGUUGCCAGCACGUGAUGGUGGGGACUCAUAGGAGACUGCCGGGGUCAACUCGGAGAAGUGGGGAUGACGUCAAAUCAUCAUGCCCCUUAUGUCUUGGGCUUCACGCAUGCUACAAUGGCCGGUACAAAGGGCUGCGAAACCGCGAGGUGGAGCGAAUCCCAAAAACGGUCUCAG
rnacentral:rRNA from 1 species